rnacentral:misc_RNA from 1 species
AUCCUCCUGACCUGCAGUAUCCCAGAGCCCCAGAUUAACAGUGCUCCCAUCGACAACCACAUUUGCACUAAAAUUGUCAAAUACAGUUGGGACAUAAUCAGUGGGAAAAGUGUUGCUGGUAUACGAAAUGAGAAGACAAGUUUUACCCACAGCUCCAUCGCCCACGGUAACACACUUUAUAAACCUAGAAGCACUCAUUCUUCCAAACCCAAUUCGCCCUUCUCAGCAACUCCCUCAACUUGUUCUUUUAUUUGCUCAAAAUCUUUCUCUAUCUGUGUUCUUUCCUCCACCUUUAUCACAAUACAAAUGAUGAAUGGAGUAAAG